rnacentral:rRNA from 1 species
CCUACGGGUGGCAGCAGUGGGGAAUAUUGGACAAUGGGGGCAACCCUGAUCCAGCCAUGCCGCGUGUGUGAAGAAGGCCCUCGGGUUGUAAAGCACUUUCAGUGAGGAAGAACGCCUGGUGGUUAAUACCCAUCAGGAAAGACAUCACUCACAGAAGAAGCACCGGCUAACUCCGUGCCAGCAGCCGCGGUAAUACGGAGGGUGCGAGCGUUAAUCGGAAUUACUGGGCGUAAAGCGCGCGUAGGUGGCUUGAUAAGCCGGUUGUGAAAGCCCCGGGCUCAACCUGGGAACGGCAUCCGGAACUGGCAAGCUAGAGUGCAGGAGAGGAAGGUAGAAUUCCCGGUGUAGCGGUGAAAUGCGUAGAGAUCGGGAGGAAUACCAGUGGCGAAGGCGGCCUUCUGGACUGACACUGACACUGAGGUGCGAAAGCGUGGGUAGCAAACAGGAUUAGAUACCUGGGUAGUC